AUGAGAUUCACAUUUGUCCUAGCUGGUUGGCCAGGAUCAGUGCAUGACAUGAGGGUCUUCAAUGAUGCACGAUCCAGAUUUGGUGACAAGUUUCCAAAACCUCCACCUAAUAAGUUUUAUCUUGUGGACUCAGGGUACCCAAAUAGACCGGGUUAUCUUGCACCAUACAAGGGUUUAACCUAUCAUUUCCAGGAGUACCGUGAUGGCACAAUGCCUAGAGGAAAAAAGGAACACUACAAUUUCACCCAUUCUUCACUUAGAAAUGUCAUCGAGAGGUGUUUUGGAGUCUUGAAGAAUAAGUGGAUGAUUUUGUUUCACUUGCCUAGUUAUCCAGAGCCGAAACAAAGCAAAAUCAUUGUGGCUUGCAUUGCACUGCACAAUUUUAUUAGACAAAGUCAACUGCCCGAUAUAGAAUUCGACAAGUGUGAUGAAGAUGAAAAUUAUGUACCAUUGUCUAUGCCAACGACCACAACAAAUGAUUCAACAAAUGAGACGGACAGUGCUGCUAUGAAUCAAUUCAGAGUUUGGGUCGCUGAUGGGUUGUGGUCCUUGAAACAACAAUGA
rnacentral:rRNA from 1 species